rnacentral:rRNA from 1 species
UACGGAGGGAGCUAGCGUUGUUCGGAAUUACUGGGCGUAAAGCGCGCGUAGGCGGCUUUGUAAGUUAGAGGUGAAAGCCCGGAGCUCAACUCCGGAACUGCCUUUAAGACUGCAUCGCUUGAAUCCAGGAGAGGUGAGUGGAAUUCCGAGUGUAGAGGUGAAAUUCGUAGAUAUUCGGAAGAACACCAGUGGCGAAGGCGGCUCACUGGACUGGUAUUGACGCUGAGGUGCGAAGGCGUGGGGAGCAAACAGG